GAUGAAGAACGUAGUGAAAUGCGAUAAGUAAUGUGAAUUGCAGAAUUCAGUGAAUCAUCGAAUCUUUGAACGCACAUUGCGCCCCCUGGUAUUCCGGGGGGCAUGCCUGUUCGAGCGUCAUUUCACCACUCAAGCCUCGCUUGGUAUUGGGCAACGCGGUCCGCCGCGUGCCUCAAAUCGACCGGCUGGGUCUUCUGUCCCCUAAGCGUUGUGGAAACUAUUCGCUAAAGGGUGUUCGGGAGGCUACGCCGUAAAACAACCCCAUUUCUAAGGUUGACCUCGGAUCAGGUAGGGAUACCCGCUGAACUUAAGCAUAUCAUCGGAGGA
rnacentral:misc_RNA from 1 species